UACGUAGGUGGCGAGCGUUGUCCGGAAUUACUGGGUGUAAAGGGAGCGUAGGCGGGAGAGCAAGUCGACUGUGAAAGCUAUGGGCUUAACCCAUAGAUGCGAUCGAAACUGUUCAUCUUGAGUGAAGUAGAGGCAGGCGGAAUUCCUAGUGUAGCGGUGAAAUGCGUAAAUAUUAGGAGGAACACCAGUGGCGAAGGCGGCCUGCUGGGCUUUAACUGACGCUGAGGCUCGAAAGCGUGGGUAGCAAA
rnacentral:rRNA from 1 species